AGAGUUUGAUCAUGGCUCAGGACGAACGCUGGCGGCGUGCCUAAUACCUGCAAGUCGAGCGGACAGAUGGGAGCUUGCUCCCUGAAGUCAGCGGCGGACGGGUGAGUAACACGUGGGCAACCUGCCUGUAAGACUGGGAUAACUUCGGGAAACCGGAGCUAAUACCGGAUAACACCGAGGACCUCAUGGUCCUUGGUUGAAAGAUGGCUUCGGCUAUCACUUACAGAUGGGCCCGCGGCGCAUUAGCUAGUUGGUGAGGUAACGGCUCACCAAGGCGACGAUGCGUAGCCGACCUGAGAGGGUGAUCGGCCACACUGGGACUGAGACACGGCCCAGACUCCUACGGGAGGCAGCAGUAGGGAAUCUUCCGCAAUGGACGAAAGUCUGACGGAGCAACGCCGCGUGAGCGAUGAGGGCCUUCGGGUCGUAAAGCUCUGUUGUUAGGGAAGAACAAGUACCGUUCGAAUAGGGCGGUACCUUGACGGUACCUAACCAGAAAGCCACGGCUAACUACGUGCCAGCAGCCGCGGUAAUACGUAGGUGGCAAGCGUUGUCCGGAAUUAUUGGGCGUAAAGCGCGCGCAGGCGGUUCCUUAAGUCUGAUGUGAAAGCCCACGGCUCAACCGUGGAGGGUCAUUGGAAACUGGGGAACUUGAGUGCAGAAGAGGAAAGCGGAAUUCCACGUGUAGCGGUGAAAUGCGUAGAGAUGUGGAGGAACACCAGUGGCGAAGGCGGCUUUCUGGUCUGUAACUGACGCUGAGGCGCGAAAAGCGUGGGGGAGCAAACAGGAUUAGAUACCCUGGUUAGUCCACGCCGUAAACGAUGAUUGCUAGUGUUUAGGGGGUUUUCGCUCCCUUAGUGCUGCAGCUAACGCAUUAAGCACUCCGCCUGGGGAGUACGGCCGCAAGGCUGAAACUCAAAAGGAAUUGACGGAGGCCCGCACAAGCGGUGGAGCAUGUGGUUUAAUUCGAAGCAACGCGAAGAACCUUACCAGGUCUUGACAUCCUCUGACAACUCUAGAGAUAGAGCGUUCCCCUUCGGGGGACAGAGUGACAGGUGGUGCAUGGUUGUCGUCAGCUCGUGUCGUGAGAUGUUGGGUUAAGUCCCGCAACGAGCGCAACCCUUGAUCUUAGUUGCCAGCAUUCAGUUGGGCACUCUAAGGUGACUGCCGGUGACAAACCGGAGGAAGGUGGGGAUGACGUCAAAUCAUCAUGCCCCUUAUGACCUGGGCUACACACGUGCUACAAUGGACGGUACAAAGAGUCGCGAGACCGCGAGGUGGAGCUAAUCUCAUAAAACCGUUCUCAGUUCGGAUUGUAGGCUGCAACUCGCCUACAUGAAGCCGGAAUCGCUAGUAAUCGCGGAUCAGCAUGCCGCGGUGAAUACGUUCCCGGGCCUUGUACACACCGCCCGUCACACCACGAGAGUUUGCAACACCCGAAGUCGGUGAGGUAACCGUAAGGAGCCAGCCGCCUAAGGUGGGGUAGAUGAUUGGGGUGAAGUCGUAACAAGGUAA
rnacentral:rRNA from 1 species